rnacentral:lncRNA from 1 species
UUUUUUCUCUUUUUUUUGUACCUUUCUGAAACACGAUCGGGGAAGAAGAAAGAGGAAAAAUUAUUUUUUAGUGUUUUGACUUUUUUUUGCCACAUGUCACAACACUAUUGGUGACUUUGUUUCUUUUGAAUUUUUUUUAUAAAAUAUCUCUUCCUCUUGAACACCAUCGACCAUGCCACUUUCACUCUCUUUUUUUCAUUUCUUUCUUUUCAUGUUUUUCUUUUUAUUUUUUGAUUAUUAUACUUAUUAUUAUA